GUCAAGUUGCUGGCUACCUUGUAACUUGUACCUUGAAUUAGUCAAACUUUCAUUAAAUCUUACCCUGGAUUCAGUCAGACUAUUUCCUAACUUGUUUAACCGGCUGUUUAGCGCCCUUUGAGGAAUUUUACUGCAAACUUUGAAGCAAAACGAUGCUAUUUUAGAAAGCUCCCGGUUAUUUGAUUUCACCUUAGAUAUAUGAAUGUGUUUAUAUUAACUUUUGAUAAUACACAGUGUUUGCACAUUUGAACUUUCUGGUAAGAGUUAUUAGAAGUUCCUUAUUAUUCGAAUUGGAUUUUAUUCCCAGUGAAAUUGCAUUUUACUGAUUCUUUAUUUAUUCAAUGUGAUUUUUUGUUUCUGAAGACGAAAAGUAAUCCGAUUUUUGAGUUUUUCACAAAAGUUCUAACUUAAUUUAAAACGCAAAAAAUUAAAAAAAAUUUGCUUUUAAAUGCGUAAAAGGUUUUGAAAAUAUACAAAUAUUUUAAAAAAUUCUCUUUUAUUUUAUUUGUUGAAUCGCUUCUGUUUGUAUGUGUGCAAGUGUAUUCAUUCUUAACUGAAGGAUUAUAUCUAGUUUAUAUGUAUGUGAAUAUGUAAAUACAUAUGUGCGCGUAAGUAUGUAUAUAAAUAUAUAUGUAUACAAGUGUAAACGCAGUGCUGUUUCUAGAAGGGUGCUAACUCGG